rnacentral:rRNA from 1 species
GAUGAACGCUGGCGGCGUGCUUAAUACAUGCAAGUCGAGCGAAAAGACGAGGAGCUUGCUCCUCUGACGUUAGCGGCGGACGGGUGAGUACCACAUGGACAACCUACCUAUAAGACUGGGAUAACAUCGGGAAACCGGAGCUAAUAGAGGAUAAUAUAUUGAACAGCGUGGUUGAAUAGUGAAUUACGCUUUUGGUGUUACAUAUAGAUGGUUCCGCGCCGCAUUAGCUAGUUGGUAAGGUAACGGCUUACCAAGGCGACGAUGCGUAGCCGACCUGCGAGGGUGAUCGGCCACACUGGAACGGAGACACGGUCCAGACUCCUACGGGAGGCAGCAGUAGGGAAUCUUCCGCAAUGGGCGAAAGCCUGACGGAGCAACGCCGCGUGAGUGAUGAAGGCCUUCGGGUCGUAAAACUCUCUUAUUAGGGAAGAACAGAUGUGUAAUUAACUAUGCAGGUCUUGACGGUACCUGAUCAAAAAGCCACGGCUAACUACGUG